rnacentral:rRNA from 1 species
AUUGAACGCUGGCGGCAUGCCUUACACAUGCAAGUCGAACGGCAGCGCGGGGGCAACCCUGGCGGCGAGUGGCGAACGGGUGAGUAAUAUAUCGGAACGUACCCAAGAGUGGGGGAUAACGUAGCGAAAGUUACGCUAAUACCGCAUACGAUCUAAGGAUGAAAGCAGGGGACCGCAAGGCCUUGUGCUCCUGGAGCGGCCGAUAUCUGAUUAGCUAGUUGGUGGGGUAAAGGCCUACCAAGGCAUCGAUCAGUAGCUGGUCUGAGAGGACGACCAGCCACACUGGGACUGAGACACGGCCCAGACUCCUACGGGAGGCAGCAGUGGGGAAUUUUGGACAAUGGGGGCAACCCUGAUCCAGCAAUGCCGCGUGAGUGAAGAAGGCCUUCGGGUUGUAAGCUCUUUGUCUAGGGAAGAAACGGUUAGUGGCUAAUAUCCAUGGCUAAUGACGGUACCUGAAGAAUAAGCACCGGC